CUCUUAUUCAGAGUUGGUGGAGGGACAGCCCCGAAGAAACCCAGCAACCAUCACGCAUUUGUGAAAAGGUGCUAACCUGAUGCAAGGUCAUACGAAACCUUGAACAAUAAGAG
rnacentral:ncRNA from 1 species